rnacentral:rRNA from 1 species
CGCGCAGGCGGUUUCUUAAGUCUGAUGUGAAAGCCCACGGCUUAACCGUGGAGGGUCAUUGGAAACUGGGAGACUUGAGUGCAGAAGAGGAAAGUGGAAUUCCAAGUGUAGCGGUGAAAUGCGUAGAGAUUUGGAGGAACACCAGUGGCGAAGGCGACUUUCUGGUCUGUAACUGACGCUGAGGCGCGAAAGCAUGGGGAGCAAACAGGAUUAGAUACCCUGGUAGUCCAUGCCGUAAACGAUGAGUGCUAAGUGUUAGGGGGUUUCCGCCCCUUAGUGCUGCAGCUAACGCAUUAAGCACUCCGCCUGGGGAGUACGACCGCAAGGUUGAA